rnacentral:rRNA from 1 species
CGUACGCAACCUCCCUCUAACUGGAAGAUAGCCCACCGAAAGGUGGAUUAAUACUCCAUAACAUAUUGAAGUGGCAUCACUUUAAUAUUAAAGCUCCGGCGGUAAGAGAUGGGCGUGCGUCUGAUUAGGUAGUUGGCGGGGUAACGGCCCACCAAGCCUGCGAUCAGUAGCUGAUGUGAGAGCAUGAUCAGCCACACGGGCACUGAGACACGGGCCCG